rnacentral:rRNA from 1 species
UACGAAGGGUGCUAGCGUUGUUCGGAAUCACUGGGCGUAAAGCGCGCGUAGGCGGCUAUACAAGUCAGGGGUGAAAUCCCGGGGCUCAACCCCGGAAUUGCCUUUGAAACUGCAUAGCUAGAGUGUCGGAGGGGAUAGCGGAAUUCCUAAUGUAGAGGUGAAAUUCGUAGAUAUUAGGAGGAACACCGGUGGCGAAGGCGGCUAUCUGGACGACAACUGACGCUGAGGCGCGAAAGCGUGGGGAUCAAACAGG